rnacentral:rRNA from 1 species
GACAGAGGCCUCAAGCGUUAGGCGGAAUCACUGGGCUUAAAGCGUGUGUAGGCGGAUCGUUAAGUGUCUUGUGAAAUCCCACGGCUCAACCCCGGAACUGCAUUGGAUACUGCCUUGCUAGAGUACUGGAGAGGGAACUGGAAUUUACGGUGUAGCAGUGAAAUGCGUAGAGAUCGUAAGGAAGGCCAGUGGCGAAGGCGAGUUCCUGGACAGUUACUGACGCUGAGGAGCGAAAGCGUGGGUAGCAAACAGG